AUUGAACGCUGGCGGCAGGCUUAACACAUGCAAGUCGAGCGGGGUGAUGGUGCUUGCACUAUCACUUAGCGGCGGACGGGUGAGUAAUGCUUAGGAAUCUGCCUAUUAGUGGGGGACAACAUCUCGAAAGGGAUGCUAAUACCGCAUACGUCCUACGGGAGAAAGCAGGGGAUCACUUGUGACCUUGCGCGAAUAGAGGAGCCUAAGUCGGAUUAGCUAGUUGGUGGGGUAAAGGCCUACCAAGGCGACGAUCUGUAGCGGGUCUGAGAGGAUGAUCCGCCACACUGGGACUGAGACACGGCCCAGACUCCUACGGGAGGCAGCAGUGGGGAAUAUUGGACAAUGGGGGGAACCCUGAUCCAGCCAUGCCGCGUGUGUGAAGAAGGCCUUAUGGUUGUAAAGCACUUUAAGCGAGGAGGAGGCUCUUUUGGUUAAUACCCAAGAUGAGUGGACGUUACUCGCAGAAUAAGCACCGGCUAACUCUGUGCCAGCCGCCGCCGUAAUAC
rnacentral:rRNA from 1 species